rnacentral:rRNA from 1 species
UUUUAUUUGAGAGUUUGAUCCUGGCUCAGGAUGAACGCUGGCGGCGUGCCUAACACAUGCAAGUUGAGCGAUUUACUUCGGUAAAGAGCGGCGGACGGGUGAGUAACGCGUGGGUAACCUACCCUGUACACACGGAUAACAUACCGAAAGGUAUGCUAAUACGGGAUAAUAUAUUUGAGAGGCAUCUCUUGAAUAUCAAAGGUGAGCCAGUACAGGAUGGACCCGCGUCUGAUUAGCUAGUUGGUAAGGUAACGGCUUACCAAGGCGACGAUCAGUAGCCGACCGGAGAGGGUGAUCGGCCACAUUGGAACUGAGACACGGUCCAAACUCCUACGGGAGGCAGCAGUGGGGAAUAUUGCACAAUGGGCGAAAGCCUGAUGCAGCAACGCCGCGUGAGUGAUGAAGGCCUUCGGG